AAAAAGACCGUGUAGAUCCGUUUCCGCGCUGGCUGUGCGUUUUGGUUCGUUUUGGAUUAAUUACGAAACUGCCAUUGCAGCCUUAAUUAAUUAAUUCGUAUUAACAUUAAACAAAUAUUUCAAUAAAUAUUACAAAACUUAAAAAAUUCAUAAAAAAUUCAAUAUUAGUCCAAAUUAGGUGGGAUUUUUUUUGUUAGUUUCCAAAUUUUAUCUACUUUUUUUUAGGCAUAGUAGUGUAAGUUGUGCCUGGUAAAAUUUUGGAAUGGUAUAUUGAUCUUUGACAUGUG
rnacentral:lncRNA from 1 species